AGGAUACAUGUUAGGUCAAACAUGAGACAUCGAAGGAGCUUUUUCAUUUUCAAAAAAACAGAAGUCUGAUCAAUGGCAAGGUGGAGUGUAAUGUUCCAUAGUUCGUACGUCAGCAGAAAGACAUAAUUUCUGUAUAUUGGGCUAGAUCAGUCACGUUAUUAAUGAGACAGGUUUAAAAGUCGUUGGUGGCUAAUAUGAUUGAUAUAGGUUUGGUAUAAUGUUUUAGUAAUCUGUAAAUAUAUGGUAUAAUGCUACCG
rnacentral:lncRNA from 1 species